UUCGCGAAAGAACCUACACAUGGGUUUAAUGAGUGAAUCAUCUGAGGCCCGGCCCCCGGCCCACAAUGGCUUGCCCAAAAUUAGGGUUUCGAUUGAAACCCUAAAAGCCCAAACAAUUAUUUUGCGCGCCUCUUUACCCCCAACCAAAGAAACCCUAAUCGCAUUCCUCGACCUUUUUAAACCCACAAUACAACCCUAGUUCCAUGUUUCUCACUGCUGUAACCAGUUGUUUUGAGACCAGUUUCUCUCUCUAGAAGUUGGAUACCUUUUCUUCUCAUCAAAGAACAAAGGCAAUAUGCAUAGAUUUUCAAUUCGUUUGACAAAAACAACUUUGAUUGCCUGUCCCAAGCUCCGGAAUGAAAUGGAGAAGAAUUACGUUAGGCCGAUUCUCUAUUUUGAAUCUUGAUACAACUUUACGGGCUUGAGCUAGGGUUAUGUGAUGAAAUUUGAAUUGUGUAGGCAAUUUCAAAUAGUUGGGAUAAAACUUGGAUGAUGAUGAUGAUGGUCUUGAGGUAGUCAAUGGAAACGACAACAUCAUGGCCAACUCUAUUUUCUUGCCUUGUCUGAACCUUGGCCAUAGGGUGUGGCAUCUAUGUUAUCUGAAAUUCGUUCUUGGCGAUGAAUGAAGAGAUCAGAAGGCAUGAAUUUGUUCAUAUGCGAGGAGUCUCAAAUGGCCGAAGGAGUCUUAAACAGAGUAUACUGAAAGAGUCUCACACUGAGUAUGGGAUGGUGGGUUCAGGUUUGGAAUGGAGUAUGCCGAAGGAGUCUCAUGGUGGGUUCAGGCUUGGAGGGUUUGAUGAGCUGACGGACUAUAGGACCUUGAAGUGUUCAAUGAAAAUGGGUUCAAUUUUUGGAGGUCCAAUGACUUGUGCAACGAGCUCAAGUGGGCUCGAUGAUGGGAUUUUCAUUCUUCACCAAAACCAAAGAUCACAUAGCAUGGGUGGCACACCUUACAGCAAGGGGGCUGUGAUUUAAAGGGAAAGUAGAAGGGUGAUGUUUUGAAGUUUAAGUGAUUCAUCUUUUGAGGUUUAAAUAUUUGUUGCAAAUAAGAUUUUCAAGAUGUUUUUUAAUGAGGGCACCGCAUAUGAAAUGAUGUCAUGCAUUAAAACCUUAUUCCCUAACUACUUUUUUUUUUUUUUUUGGUAGUUCAAAGGUAGGAAAAAUGUUAGUUGUGAGCAUCGUUUGAAAAUUUUCAUAUUCAAAUUAGAAUUGAAUAUUGUCCUGCGUA